UUUCUAUCCUUCUUUUGACCCCGGGUGAAAACUAGCAUAUCAAUAAGCGGAGGAAAAGAAACCAACAGGGAUUGCCCUAGUAACGGCGAGUGAAGCGGCAACAGCUCAAAUUUGAAAUCUGGCGUCUUUGGCGUCCGAGUUGUAAUUUGCAGAGGGCGCUUUGGCAUUGGCAGCGGUCCAAGUUCCUUGGAACAGGACGUCACAGAGGGUGAGAAUCCCGUACGUGGUCGCUAGCCUUUACCGUGUAAAGCCCCUUCGACGAGUCGAGUUGUUUGGGAAUGCAGCUCUAAAUGGGAGGUAAAUUUCUUCUAAAGCUAAAUACUGGCCAGAGACCGAUAGCGCACAAGUAGAGUGAUCGAAAGAUGAAAAGCACUUUGGAAAGAGAGUUAAAAAGCACGUGAAAUUGUUGAAAGGGAAGCGCUUGCAGCCAGACUUGCCUGUAGUUGCUCAUCCGGGUUUUUACCCGGUGCACUCUUCUACGGGCAGGCCAGCAUCAGUUUGGGCGGUUGGAUAAAGGUCUCUGUCAUGUACCUCCUCUCGGGGAGAUCUUAUAGGGGAGACGACAUGCAACCAGCCUGGACUGAGGUCCGCGCAUCUGCUAGGAUGCUGGCGUAAUGGCUGUAAGCGGCCCGUCUUGAAACACGGACCAAGGAGUCUAACAUCUAUGCGAGUGUUUGGGUGUCAAGCCCGAGCGCGUAAUGAAAGUGAACGGAGGUGGGAACCUUUCGGGGUGCACCAUCGACCGAUCCUGAUGUCUUCGGAUGGAUUUGAGUAAGAGCAUAGCUGUUGGGACCCGAAAGAUGGUGAACUAUGCUUGAAUAGGGUGAAGCCAGAGGAAACUCUGGUGGAGGCUCGCAGCGGUUCUGACGUGCAAAUCGAUCGUCAAAUUUGGGCAUAGGGGCGAAAGACUAAUCGAACUAUCUAGUAGCUGGUUCUGCGAUUUUUUCUCUCCCGGAAAAAAAAAAAAAA
rnacentral:rRNA from 1 species